rnacentral:lncRNA from 1 species
AUGCUACCGCUGCUGCAAGACCUCUUCUUCCUAAUGGAGGUGUCGGGAGUGGCUCAUAACCCCUGGGCUCCUCGUGCAGGUCCCAGUUCCAAACUUAUCCAAGGAGUACCACAAACCAUACGGUCGCUGGCACCAAAGCCGAUCUUCCUGACAGGCCGCAUCCUCUACGGCCAACUCGUCAGUCUGACACUGACGGAGCAAGCAUCUUUAAGAGUUUCUUUUAACGAGUCUCCCACACUCACAGGCACACCUCUGAUUGAUCUCGAAUCGCUCUGA